UUUGGUGGCGAUAGCGAAGAGGUCACACCCGUUCCCAUACCGAACACGGAAGUUAAGCUCUUCAGCGCCGAUGGUAGUCGGGGGUUUCCCCCUGUGAGAGUAGGAC
rnacentral:rRNA from 2 species